rnacentral:ribozyme from 12 species
AAGGAAGAAAAAAAGGAAAAAGAAAAAGAAAAACGAAGAAAGGGUAGAAAAGAAACGCUAAAGGUCUGUCCAUAAGUGUGUGUAUUAUGUUACCGUUAACUUAAUUU